GAUGAACGCUAGCUACAGGCUUAACACAUGCAAGUCGAGGGGAAACGACAUCGAAAGCUUGCUUUUGAUGGGCGUCGACCGGCGCACGGGUGAGUAACGCGUAUCCAACCUGCCCACCACUUGGGGAUAACCUUGCGAAAGUAAGACUAAUACCCAAUGAUAUCUCUAGAAGACAUCUGAAAGGGAUUAAAGAUUUAUCGGUGAUGGAUGGGGAUGCGUCUGAUUAGCUUGUUGGCGGGGGUAAACGGGCCCACCCAAAGGCAACGAAUCAGUAAGGGGGUUCGUUGAGAGGAAGGUCCCCACCAUUGGAACUGAGACACGGUCCAAACUACCUACGGAGGCAGCAGUGAGGAA
rnacentral:rRNA from 1 species